UAGAAUGUCUGUCCUGUGAUAUCUCACCCAGCAAAAUUUAUUCGGACUUUAAAGCCAGAUGGGAAACACCUGGUAAAUUUGACAGCCUUGGGGACUUCCAAAUUAAUGGGAAAGCCGACAAUAGUGCUUUCAGGGACCUAAUUACGGCCAAAGAAAUCGAGAAAAAUGUGCGGGAGAUGAGCAGGAAUUCGGCUCCAGGUCCAGACGGGAUUACUCUGAGAGACAUCAAGAAGAUGGACCCCGAGUUUUCCCAGACCAUGGAGAUCUUCAACCUAUGGUUAACAUCAGGAAAAAUCCCGGACAUGGUGAGGGGGUGCAGGACUGUGUUAAUCCCGAAGUCAACCAGGCCGGAGCGCUUAAAGGACAUUAACAACUGGAGACCCAUAACGAUUGGAUCCAUCUUGCUGCGACUGUUCUCCAGAAUUCUAACAGCAAGGUUAACCAAGGCGUGCCCCCUCAACCCAAGGCAAAGAGGCUUCAUCAGAGCGGCGGGAUGCUCUGAAAACCUGAAACUCCUGCAAACUAUAAUUCGAUCAGCCAAAAGAGAUCAUAAACCGCUGGGUGUUGUGUUUGUGGACAUUGCCAAGGCCUUUGACACCGUGAGCCACCGGCACAUUCUACAAGGUCUGCAGGAGAGGUGUGUGGAUCCCCACAUCGUCAGCUUGGUGAGCAAUAUGUACGAGAACAUCCGUACAUAUAUCACCACGGGGAAGACACAGACAGACCACAUCCAGAUCCAGGUUGGAGUAAAACAGGGCGACCCGAUGUCACCCUUUUUAUUUAAUCUGGCUAUGGAUCCCCUACUCUGCGAACUGGAAACGAGCGGCAAAGGGUACCACCGAGGACCGAGCAGCGUCACAGCGAUGGCGUUCGCAGACGAUCUGGUCCUGUUGAGCGACUCCUGGGAAAACAUGAAGCGGAACAUCAGGAUAGUAGAGACCUUCUGCGACCUCACCGGUCUCAAAACACAGGGGGAAAAGUGCCACGGCUUCUUCAUCAAGCCCACCAAGGACUCCUACACUGUCAACGACUGCGCUGCUUGGACUAUUAAUGGCACACCCCUGAACAUGAUCCACCCCGGAGAAUCUGAAAAAUACCUGGGCCUGCAGAUUGACCCCUGGACUGGGCUAGCAAAAUCCGACCUAUCUACAAAACUAGAAAGCUGGCUUGAGAAAAUAGGUAAAUCUCCUCUUAAACCUCUGCAGAAACUCGAUAUCCUCAAAACGUAUACCAUCCCUCGACUGACCUACCUGGCUGACCAUUCGGAUCUGAAAGCGGGGUUCCUCGAGGCCCUUGACCAGACGGUUCGGACGAAGGUCAAGGAAUGGCUGCACUUACCUGCGUGCACCUGCGAUGCCAUCUUCUACUCGAGCACGAGAGACGGCGGUUUGGGCCUCACCAAACUGGCAGGACUGAUCCCUAGCGUGCAAGCUCGAAGACUGCAUCGGCUCGCCCAGUCUUCUGAUGAGACCAUGAAGUUGUUCCUGGAGAAAGAUCAAAUGGAACAACUGCAUAAGAAACUGUGGGUUCAAGCUGGAGGGGACAGGGAGAAGAUACCUUCAAUUUGGGAAGCAAAACCGGCGAACGUACCAUCCACCUCAUACAGUGCAGACAUUACUUCUGAGUGGGAAGCACCGUCCUUAAAAAGUAAAUUUCCCAAACCGUGCAAUUGGCGUAAAAAAGAAUUUAAGAAUUGGACUAAAUUAGUGUCCCAAGGCCGUGGAAUUGAAAAUUUUGAAGGAGACAAAAUUAGCAACCAUUGGAUACAAUAUUACAGAGGCAUUCCUCACAGGAAACUCCUUACAGCCUUACAACUGAGAGCAAACGUCUACCCCACGAGAGAAUUUCUAGCCAGGGGUAGAAAGGAUAAAUACACCAAGGCGUGCAGACACUGCGAGGCGGACAACGAAACCUGUGCCCACAUCAUCGGCAACUGCCCGAUAACGCAGGACGCGAGAAUCAAGAGGCACAACUACAUCUGUAAGGUGCUGUCAGAGGAGGCGAAGAAGAAGGACUGGGUAGUGUUUCAGGAACCGCACAUAAGGGAUACCAACAAGGAACUGUACAAACCAGACCUGAUUUUCGUGAAAGACGCCCGUGCAUUUGUCGUGGACGUGACAGUUCGAUACGAAGCAAGCAAAACAUCGCUUGAGGAGGCCGCCGCAGAGAAAGUGAACAAGUACAACCACCUCGCCGAAGAGAUACGAGAACUGACCAACGCAAAGGACGUUGUGUUCAUGGGCUUUCCCCUAGGAGCGCGGGGGAAAUGGUACCAUGGGAACUUUGAACUGUUGGGUGCUCUCGGCCUUUCCAAAACAAGGCAGGAGAAGGCUGCCCGGACUCUAUCCUCCAUUGCGCUCACGUCAUCCGUGGACAUUGUACAUAUGUUUGCUAGUAGAUCUAGGAGCUGUAAGGUAGCAUAGACUGUUACUUUAUUUUACUUUGUAAAUGUUGUCCUGUAACAUUUUAUAACAUAUCUUCAAUAAAGUUUCGGCGGGGG
ensembl:rRNA